GGGCUUUUCUUUUUCUGAAGCAGAAUGAUUGUACAGCAUACAUCUGUAAUCAACACAGGACCAAAAUUAUACAUACAGGUCAAAAAUAUACAUACAAACACUUAGAUUAUUAAUUCAAUGGUGCUGCAAGCUCCAAAAUAUCCUUUAACUUGCCAAGAUCAAGGACUCUUAAUUUCCUGUUAGUGAUCAUGAUUGACUACAGCUGGCAGCUUCUCUGUGACAACAUAAAAAGGGCUUGUUUAACAGCACUCAUAGGAUUGACCAACACACAGUACUAUGGGAAAGUCCAAGGAGCACAGUGCAGAUCUGAAAAAGAGGAAGCUAAAUUUACACAAGACAGGAAUGUCUCUUGGAGCAAUUUCUAAACAAUUGCAGAUUCCAAGUUCAUCAGUUCAAACAAUUGUACAUGUUAUUGGGAAAUGUAGCCACUUUGCCAAGGUCUGGAAGAAGACCCAAACGGUCACCCUUAACUGAGAGGAACUUGGUUCGGAUGGUCAGGAAAACCAAGGAACCACCAAGGCACAGGCCUGCCAUGAACUGGAAGCUCAUACCACUGUGGGUUGAUCAGGCGGACAUCAUCCUCUGGAAAUUCACGUGAAACCUUGACCCAGUCCGUGCCACGUUUUGCCAUGAACAGUCGUCGUAGUUCAUGAGUGGUGGGUCUGAAUUCUCUGCAGAAUAUCUGAAGUUCAUCCCCAAUUUUUCGUCCUCCUACUUUGCGGAGUGCCGGCAGAUGCGUUACGCUGCUCUUGAUGUCUUCCAAUGUCCAGGGUCUGUGAACUAGCAUAGGGACUCCUUCUCUGGCCACUUCUGGCAUUGGGGCAUUUACCGCGGCGUGCAUUGUCCCUUCUCUGUCCGAUUUUGUUGGUCUGAAGCACUCAGGCAACAAUGUUGUUAGUCCCUUCACUUGCGCUCUCGUGUGUAGCGCCACUGGUGAAGCUAGGAUGGCUGGAGAAUAGUUCGGUGGGGGUUGGUGGCUCAGUUCUGACAGGUUCGGAGAGUGGCGUAGGCUGGGCCGCUUCAUUGUGAGGAGGUGUCCCUAAAACUGCAGAUUCCUCCUGCCUUACUGGCUGUGGGCGUCGCGGUGGGGCGGAGUCCAGGUCGGGAUCGGCUUUCUGCAAUUUAGCACACUGAGAAACAGAUGAGGGCCCUGACUGACAUUUUUUUCUCUAUUUUAUGUGCCUCACUCUGCCAUUCAGCAAAUGCCUUCCAGUCAGCCAAAAACUGCACUUCGCUCUUUGUUUUAGGGGUCUCUCUCUACUUUGUCUCUAAAUUAAGUUUCAGUUGUUCUAACUGUCUGAGGCUAAAGCUACCUUUUUCUGGGAAAGAACAUUCUUUAACCCAUACAUCAUAUUGGUUCAAACAUCCUUCCCCAUAAUUCACACGCAUAAAUAUGAUAUUAGGAUCAACAUAUGAAAACCCUGUACAUACCAUAGGAUGUGUUUUGCUACAUGUUUUCCCAAUAUUUUAUUUAUUUUUUCUAUUUUUAUUUCUUUACAGCUUCUCUAUCUUUCAAAGUUUUAAGCAAUUUAACGUGCUAUGAAAAUCAAGUGAAUAUGCAUUCUUGCGCACAGACAGAAAACGUUCAAAAUGUGUGCCAAAUCUCUAGACAUUCAUUUAAUCAUAUAACUUAUAGGAUCAAUAGAGCAAAGCUUAAGAAUGUAAAAGAGUUUACCUGUGCGUGCGAGUCCACAUACAGCAAUUUGGUAGGGCUUACAGUUUUCUUUUCCCUGCUUUUUUUUUUUAUAUAUAUUUUUUAAAUUAUUUUUUUUUAAUCUCAGUAACAUUUACUUGUGUGUUAAAUUUGACAAAUGUAUCAUGUACCGCUGAUAUGAUGGAAUGAGUCAAUGGGGCAUGAAACUUCAUAAUAACUUGUGCUUCUUAAUAAGUACUUUCUUUAAUUAUUUAUUGCUCGAACUGGACUCAUUCCGUUAGCAAAUAUUUUUACCGUUAUUAUAUCUCUCUCUGUAUAUAUACAGUAUCUCACAAAAGUGAGUACACCCCUCACAUUUUUGUAAAUAUUUGAUUAUAUCUUUUCAUGUGACAACACUGAAGAAAUGACACUUUGCUGCAAUGUAAAGUAGUGAGUGUACAGCUUGUGUAACAGUGUAAAUUUGCUGUCCCCUCAAAAUAACUCAACACACAGCCAUUAAUGUCUAAUCAAAGAUAUAAAUCAAAAUAUAAUCAAAUAUUUACAAAAAUGUGAGGGGUGUACUCACUUUUGUGAAACUGUCUGUACCUGUAGGUAUAUAUCUUAGUUUUGAAGCUGUGAUCUAAGAAACACCAAUAUCUCUGCCGUCACAGAGGCGGAGUUCCUGGAACUUCUUAUAAGAAAUCGCUCCAUGUAAUACUUCUCUCAAUGUAAUACACGCAUUUCU
ensembl:lncRNA